GAAAGCCGUAUGCUUUGGAAGAAGCUUGUACAGUUUGGGAAGGGGUUUUGGUUCGAGCAUGUCGGUGACUCGGUUUAGCGGUCCCGAAACCACUUCCC
rnacentral:ribozyme from 1 species